rnacentral:rRNA from 1 species
UACGUAGGGUCCGAGCGUUGUCCGGAAUUAUUGGGCGUAAAGAGCUCGUAGGCGGCCUGUUGCGUCCGCUGUGAAAGCCCGGGGCUUAACCCCGGGUCUGCAGUGGAUACGGGCAGGCUAGAGGUAGGUAGGGGAGAAUGGAAUUCCUGGUGUAGCGGUGAAAUGCGCAGAUAUCAGGAGGAACACCGGUGGCGAAGGCGGGUCUCUGGGCCGAUACUGACACUGAGGAGCGAAAGCGUGGGGAGCGAACAGG